GAGAGAACAUGUGGAUCUGGUUGCGUUUAAGAUCAGUGAACGUCUCAUUCAGCAAGAACAUGGCUAAGUUGAAAUAUCAAGGAUACCAAUGGAAACGAAGUUCAAGACUGCGAAGCAAGCGUUUCAUUGUGCUUCUCAUCAGACAACUAAUGCGAAAUCUUUCACAUUAGAUGGAUAUCUAGCCCCAAACCCCCAAAAUAAACUGUAACCCAGAUCAGCAUAAACUGAAAUAGCACAGAAUAUACUAAAACCAACUAGUCUUGAAAGUACCAUGAAGCAUACGAAUGAUACUUUACAUCCACCACCAUUUGUUUUUCUAUGGAUUUAUCAAAACAUGUAACUAACUAGACAGCUUAAUAUUUCCUAAUUAUGAAACAAAGAUAAAGACACUUUGAUGCAACAGCACAGAUUUGUUCCGUGGAAAACUUUUUACGCAUGAGCUGAAAUAAUUUCGUAAAGGCAACUUUAUUAACGACUCAAAUAUCAUAUUAAUGUUAAAGAUUCCCUCUCACCAUUUCUGUUUUGCCAUAAACUGUUAUUAGGCCACCUCCCAAAUAU
rnacentral:lncRNA from 1 species